GGGAAAAGGGCUGAGGGGGUAGAGGUAUAAAAAUCAGAUAGCUCAGCACUUCGCUCCAAAGGAGCUGAAGGAGAGAGGAUUCCACUGCGUGUAUGUUUUCUCUUUCACGUCUCACUUUUGUUCUCUGCCAUCAGGAAAUGCAGUAGACAUUUGUCACCAGCAGCUCUUUGGAGACUUCAAUGUUCCUUCCUCCCAGGAUCCGAAAGGGGACUUCAGACACGGAGAAUCUAAGACACCAGGAGCUCAGAAGAAUGGAGUCUCAAGACAUCAGGCAAAUACCGAAGAGAUCAGAGCCAAGUUCUAAAGGGCAGCCAUUUCCCAAAUGUCAACCAAGAGCGAAGCCAAGAGAAUUAUGAUUUCCUGGCUAUACAAUGACAGGAAAAGCUUGAUCAAAGCUGGAGUGCAAGUUAAAAAGUGUAAGGUACUCAAGUGCUAGGGUCUGUGUCCAAGCCCAAUCAAUUGAUCAUUAGUUGUUUUUAACUUCAACGUUUCUUUUGCAACAGCACCUCUUCCUUAAAGUAGCAAUCUUAGCAGACUGCCACCUUACAUGAUGCAUCUUAUUCUCCAAGGACAAUGAAGACUGAACUAUCGCACAUUACCUAAGAAAGAUGGGAAUUGACAUGCACAUCACAAUUGUAUACACAACAGAAAUUAUUGAAUCAUGAGAUAUACAUUCCGGUGUGUGACAGAUUGGCACAUGACAUAAUCUGGGUUCUUUAUAGACUCAGUUGUUUUGGGGCGAUCUAGAUUAUCAAGAGAAGAGCCUUCAUGCUUAGCUUUAUCUUGUACCAACCACCAGGGCCCUUGCUUCUGAGCAGGAAGCAGCUGGGGAAUAGGCUCUUUCUCUUAAUGACUUCCAACAUAGUUCUCUCAAACCUUACUCCUCCAGAAGGCCACCCUCACCUGGCUAUGGCUACUUCAGAAAAAACUUGGCCUCUGGUAUAAUAGAGCAGAAUCACCACCUCACAUUCUAUUUCAAGCCAAAGUCAAUAUCUCAAAGGCUGGUUCUGUGAUUUAUUUGGCCCUUGGGAGCUCCUACUGAAAGUGCUGAAAUGUCGUACUGACACUUCAGACUUAUAGCUACCUAGACUCCAAGUAAGAUUUAUCUCUGACUGGAGGGUUUCUCCUAUUAAAAACCAAAGAGUGUAGGGUGCCUUCACCUGCUAGGUAAUCUUCUAUGCCCUAAUGGGAAGAAUGGGAGCAGCAGACAAGUAAGUUCAGGAAGGAGAACCAAAGCUGUGUCCAUGCCCUUGAGGAAAGAGAAAUUGGACCAGACAAGUUCAGUGGAAACUUUCUAAUGGAUCCAUCAACUUCAUCUUGUCUAAGCAGAGUCAUAGCUAGAAGUGUGACUGAAAUAGGAGAACCACGUCCAGGGGUUCAGGGGGGAUUCCUCUGAAAUCGCAGCUGGAAGCAUUUCGUAAUAGUUCUGGUACUGCACCCAUAGAUACUGUCACCUCUACUCUUUCUUCCAAUCACCAUUAGCAGAUGCCACAGGAUUCCUACUUCUGAAAGUUUUUGGGCCCUGCAGGUGGAAGACUGGAGAAGCCAAUAAAGUUUAAGGCUACAUUUUAUUCCAUCCACAAAUUUGGUGAAGGAGGAAAUGUUUACAAUUCUGCCAUGCCAUGAAUAGGAGUUUUCCACCGGGUGUACACUGCUGUUAACAAGGUGUAAAUACUUGUCCAGUAAAGAGACCGUACGGUACUGCUGAUGGACGUCCCAACACAAUGCCAGAUGCAAAAACUUCUUUGGUGAUUGCUUUUGAUAACACUGAGUGGCUAAAGGUCUUCUUUCACAUCUUUGCCCACCUCAAAUCCUGAAGGCAAGGUCUCUGGAAUUUGAGGCUGUGCCCUCACAUGCCUCCAAGGCACCAACAAAGCAAAAUGAAGAGUCUGCACUGCUUAUCAGUUGACCCAACACUCAGUCCACAUUGGAGGGGAAGGGGUGGUGGGCUGAGGAUGUCUUCUUCCUGUCCAGGAUGCAAUAUGGUCAAGGAUGAAAGGAAAGAGAUGCUGGGAGCAAGUCUGCAUUGAAGAUGUAUUUCUGUUGCUUUACUACCAACCCUGGUUAUAAAUGAUGAAACUAUAAUGGGUCUGUAAUAGCUACUUUCCCAUAUAGCUCUUGUCUGUACAUACAUAAAAUUAAAAAUAAUAGAAUACUUCCAUUACUAACAAAAAAAAAAA
rnacentral:lncRNA from 1 species